UGAGCAGCUUGCCUCAAAGCAUCAAAAGUCAGAAAAUCGCCCUCUUUUAUUUGGAAGGUCUCCCUCAGAUAUUCCAAUCGUGCAAGCAAUAUUCUGCUUAAUGUGUAUUGGAAUGGAACGCCAAACAUGAUAACAAGCCUCCCAUAGUGUCUAUCAAAGUCUAUACCUUCAGCCACUUUUCCCCUAGCAACUGAGAAGAAAACUGCACCCCUCCCACUAUCACAAGCCUUGCGAUAAUUAUCCAAAGCCAAUGUAGUCUCUACAACAUCUUGGGUCUCGAUAAAUACAAGUUUAUGUUGCAUUAUAUCCUUUAAUAUUCCUGAUUCAUGCCAACUGUUGACAAUUCCAUCCAUAUAAGAGUAACUGACAAAAAAACAGACAACCCCAUCUGGAACAACAGAAACCAUUUCUAGCAAAAGCUUCCCAUAAUUUUUCUCGACGCCCGGAUCGCUUCUCAGGUCAUACUUAGUGCUUACAGGAAGCUGAUCACUUCCCCGGGUAAGGACCAUUGGGCAUAUGCAAUCCCUUGUCAGUGACAUCUUGAAGCUUCGACUUACUACCGG
rnacentral:misc_RNA from 1 species